AGCCUAGGUCGGAUUAGCUAGUUGGUGAGGUAAUGGCUCACCAAGGCGACGAUCCGUAACUGGUCUGAGAGGAUGAUCAGUCACACUGGAACUGAGACACGGUCCAGACUCCUACGGGAGGCAGCAGUGGGGAAUAUUGGACAAUGGGCGAAAGCCUGAUCCAGCCAUGCCGCGUGUGUGAAGAAGGUCUUCGGAUUGUAAAGCACUUUAAGUUGGGAGGAAGGGCAGUAAAUUAAUACUUUGCUGUUUUGACGUUACCGACAGAAUAAGCACCGAUA
rnacentral:rRNA from 1 species